rnacentral:rRNA from 1 species
UACAGAGGUCUCAAGCGUUGUUCGGAAUCACUGGGCGUAAAGGGUGUGUAGGCGGUGUGCUAAGUCAGAUGUGAAAAGCCCGGGGCUCAACCUCGGAACUGCAUCCGAUACUGGCAUGCUAGAGAAUUGGAGAGGAGUCUAGAAUUCACGGUGUAGCAGUGAAAUGCGUAGAUAUCGUGAGGAAUACCAAGUGCGAAGGCAGGACUCUGGACAUUUUCUGACGCUGAGGAGCGAAAGCAUGGGGAGCGAACAGG